rnacentral:rRNA from 1 species
UACGUAGGGGGCUAGCGUUGUCCGGAAUCAUUGGGCGUAAAGCGCGUGUAGGCGGUCCGGUAAGUCCGCUGUGAAAGUCGAGGGCUCAACCCUCGAAUGCCGGUGGAUACUGUCGGGCUUGAGUACGGGAGAGGCGAGUGGAAUCCUGGUGUAGCGGUGAAAUGCGUAGAUAUCAGGAGGAACACCGAUGGCGAAGGCAGCGUGC